CUACGGGAGGCUCCAGUGGGGAAUAUUGGACAAUGGGGGAAACCCUGAUCCAGCAAUGCCGCGUGUGUGAAGAAGGCCUGCGGGUUGUAAAGCACUUUCGGUUGGGAGGACUGCUUCUAGCACUAAUAUUGUUGGAAGUUGACGUUACCUUCAGAAGAAGCACCGGCUAACUCCGUGCCAGCAGCCGCGGUAAUACGGAGGUGUGCAAGCGUUAAUCGGAAUUACUGGGCGUAAGGCGCGCGUAGGCGGCUAGAUCAGUCGGGUGUGAAAGCCCCGGGCUUAACCUGGGAACUGCAUCCGAUACUGUCUAGCUUGAGUACAGGAGAGGAGAGUGGAAUUCCACAUGUAGCGGUGAAAUGCGUAGAUAUGUGGAGGAACACCAAUGGCGAAGGCAGCUCUCUGGCCUGAUACUGACGCUGAGGUGCGAAAGCGUGGGGAGCAAACAGGAUUAGAUACCCGAGUAGUC
rnacentral:rRNA from 1 species